rnacentral:lncRNA from 1 species
GAACUCAUGGGUAGGUAUCUUGCUGCUUAGGUUGCAUGGAGGUGGAUGCUUUCUCAGUGGCCUGGAGUCUGAUCUUGCAGGUCACCUUAGGCAUUUGGUUCCUUUCUCAUGUGAAUUUGAGUUUGGUACUUUUUUUUUUUUUGGUCUUUUUAGGGCCACACCCAGGGCAUAUGGAGGUUCCUAGGCUUGGGGUCCAAUUGGAGCUGUAGCUGCCGUCCUGCACCACAGUCACAGCAACACGGGAUCCGAGCAGUGUCUGUGACCUAUACCAUAGCCCACAGCAGUGCAGGAUCCUUAACCUGCUGAGCAAGGCCAGGGAUUGAACCUGUGUCCUCAUGGAUGCCAUUCAGAUUCGUUUCCACUGAUCCAUGACGGGAACUCCGAGUUUGGUACAUUUUAGCUAAAAUGCAAAAUAAAUUGGUUUCUGAAGCAAAACCAUAUUGGUUUUUUCCUUGCAGCACGUCCAUUAGCAUAGGUCUUCCCAGGCCAUCGUAGGAAAGGAUCAGUCUCGGUCGGUGAAGUACAGACAUGCUAACCUCAGCUGCAGCUAGUGGUGCCUAUAACUAAUGGUUGUGACACUUGUUCACUUCGGUAGUGGAAGAUCCUGACAUAAGCCCCAGCACUCCCUGUCCUGUUCUCAGUAGGUGUGCUCCCAUUUCAUUGUGGAUGAAGUAAUCAGUUUGUAUCUGUAGGUAUAUCCCUGGAUAGUUCCCCUAUCCUGCUAGUGUAGGGCUUCACUGGGAAUAUUUUCCCAUUAUGACCGUAAUGGGUGUUUGUUGUGUUUUGGGUUUUUUUUUUUUUUGCUUUUUAGGGCCACACUCACAGCAUAUGGAGUUUCCCAGGCUAGGGGUCAGAUUGGAGCCGUAGCUGCAGGCCAGUGCCCCCGCCACAGCAACAUAGGAUCUGAGCUGUAUCUGCAACCUACACCACAGCUCAUGGUGAUGCCGGAUCCUUAACCCUCGGAGUGAGGCCAGGGGUUAAGGCCUCAUGGAUGCUAUCAGAUUCGCUAACCACUGAGCCAUGAUGGGAACUCCAUAAUGGAUGUUUGUUAAAGGGAACUAACAACUUGCUAAGUUCUACCUCCACUUACCACUCUUCUUAAAAUG